rnacentral:rRNA from 1 species
AGUGAACGCUGGCGGUAGGCCUAACACAUGCAAGUCGAACGGCAGCACAGUAAUAGCUUGCUCUUACGGGUGGCGAGUGGCGGACGGGUGCGGAAUACAUCGGAAUCUACUUUUUCGUGGGUGAUAACGUAGGGAAACUUACGCUAAUACCGCAUACGACCUACGGGUGAAAGCAGGGGAUCUUCGGACCUUGCGCGAUCGAAUGAGCCGAUGUCGGAUUAGCUAGUUGGCGGGGUAAAGGCCCACCAAGGCGACGAUCCGUAGCUGGUCUGAGAGGAUGAUCAGCCACACUGGAACUGAGACACGGUCCAGACUCCUACGGGAGGCAGCAGUGGGGAAUAUUGGACAAUGGGCGCAAGCCUGAUCCAGCCAUACCGCGUGGGUGAAGAAGGUCUUCGGGUUGUAAAGCACUUUUGUUGGGAAAGAAAAGCAGCAGGUUAAUACCCCGCUGUUCUGACGGUACCAAAAGAAUAAGCACCGGCUAACUUCGUG